UCAAUGGAAGGGGAGGACAGUGGCGGACGGGUGAGUAAUGCAUGAGCAACCUGCCUCGGAGUGGGGGACAACAGUUGGAAACGACUGCUAAUACCGCAUGAUGUUACCGGAGGGCAUCCUUUGGUAACCAAAGAUUUAUCGCUCUGAGAUGGGCUCAUGUCUGAUUAGAUAGUUGGCGGGGUAACGGCCCACCAAGUCUGCGAUCAGUAGCCGGACUGAGAGGUUGAACGGCCACAUUGGGACUGAGAUACGGCCCAGACUCC
rnacentral:rRNA from 1 species